rnacentral:tRNA from 1 species
GGGUAUAGUUCAAUGGUAGAACGUCGGUCUCCAAAACCGCUGAUGUGGGUUCGACUCCUGCUACCC